rnacentral:other from 1 species
UAUCAACUGCGGUGUUUGUUAGCACCUUCAUAAUCCUUGAGCCUAUUUAUCAACUUUGGGAUUUUUAGAGUUAUUCCGGUGUGCAGGCCCGAGUUAUAUCGGGAAGCCUAAUGGAUGAUCUGGUUAUCCCCCCUGAACCCUCGGUUCAAGGUUGAUAGACGCGACGGCAUCGCGGUUGGUAU